rnacentral:rRNA from 1 species
AUUGAACGCUGGCGGCAGGCCUAACACAUGCAAGUCGAGCGGAUGAAGGGAGCUUGCUCCUGGAUUCAGCGGCGGACGGGUGAGUAAUGCCUAGGAAUCUGCCUGGUAGUGGGGGAUAACGUCCGGAAACGGGCGCUAAUACCGCAUACGUCCUGAGGGAGAAAGUGGGGGAUCUUCGGACCUCACGCUAUCAGAUGAGCCUAGGUCGGAUUAGCUAGUUGGUGGGGUAAAGGCCUACCAAGGCAACGAUCCGUAACUGGUCUGAGAGGAUGAUCAGUCACACUGGAACUGAGACACGGUCCAGACUCCUACGGGAGGCAGCAGUGGGGAAUAUUGGACAAUGGGCGAAAGCCUGAUCCAGCCAUGCCGCGUGUGUGAAGAAGGUCUUCGGAUUGUAAAGCACUUUAAGUUGGGAGGAAGGGCAGUAAGUUAAUAUCUUGCUGUUUUGACGUUACCAACAGAAUAAGCACCGGCUAACUUCGUG